rnacentral:rRNA from 1 species
AAUCAACGCUGGCGGCGUGCCUCAGACAUGCAAGUCGAACGAUUAAAGCUCUCUUCGGAGAGUGUAUAGAGUGGCGCACGGGUGAGUAACACGUAAGUAAUCUACCCUCGAGUGGGGAAUAACAACCGGAAACGGUUGCUAAUACCGCAUAAUGCAGCGGCACCGCAAGGUGACAGUUGUUAAAGAUUUAUCGCUUGAGGAGGAGCUUGCGGCAGAUUAGCUAGUUGGUAGGGUAACGGCUUACCAAGGCUACGAUCUGUAACCGGUCUAAGAGGACGGUCGGUCACACUGACACUGAAUAACGGGUCAGACUCCUACGGGAGGCAGCAGUCGGGAAUUUUGGGCAAUGGGCGAAAGCCUGACCCAGCAACGCCGCGUGAAGGAUGAAGUAUUUCGGUAUGUAAACUUCGAAAGAAUAGGAAGAAUAAAUGACGGUACUAUUUAUAAGGUCCGGCUAACUACGUG